UUCAACUUAUAUUCAAUUGAAUAGACUGCAAAGACAAGCUAUUUAAUGUUUGAACUGAGAAACAUAUUUUUUUAAAAUUAUGAUUAAAUUAAAGUACCAAUGAUUGUCACACACACACUAGAUGUGGUGAAAUUUGUCCUCUGCAUUUGACCCAUCCCCUUGGGGAGCAGUGGGCAGACCCCCAACUCCAACCCUUGAUGCUCUGCAAGACACUGGUCAUCUUGGAGCUCCCCAGUCCCGACAGCACUCAUGUAGCCCCAGACCAUGACACUACCACCACCACGUUCGACUGUAUGCAAGACACAAUUAUUUCGACUCAUUCUGUGGGUGUAAAAGAAAGUGCAUCUGUAUCCUCCUUCAAAACCGCACUAAAAGAACACCUCCAGGCAACUACAACCCUAGACUAACACUCUCCCCCCUCCACAUUCCACCUCCCCGGAUUGUAAAUAAUGAAAUGUAUAUACUUGUUCUUAUGCUUUCUGAACUCACUAUGUUCACUGCUCGCUGUACAUAUCCUACCAAGUCGGACCUACACUGUUACAAUGUCCAUUUCUCUGAUGAUUGUUGAUGACUGAAGUGCUGAUAUCAACCAAACCUAACCCCCCCCACCCCCCCACCCCCUCAUCCCACCCCCGGAUUGUAAAUAAUGUAAAUAAUUCAAUGUAUAUACUCUGAUGAUUAACUUGUGUGAUGACUGUAUUAUGCUGAUAGUAUAUAUUUGUAACAUGAAUUGAUUUACGUGGACCCCAACUUAAACAAGUUGAAAAACUUAUUUGGGUGUUACCAUUUAGUGGUCAAUUGUACAAAAUAUAUACUGCACUGUACAAUCUACUAAUAAAAGUUUCAAUCAAUCAACAACACUCAGUAAAGGUUUGGGAACUGAGACGACCAAUUUUUGAAGCUUUUCAGGUGGAAUUCUUUCCCAUUCUUGCUUGAUGUACCGCUUAAGUUGUUCAACAGUCCGGGGUCUCCCUUGUGGUUUUUGCUGCUUCAUAAUGCGCCACACAUUUUCAAUGGGAGACAGAUCUGGACUACAGGAAGGCCAGUCUAGUACCGACACUCUUUUACUAUAAAGCCAGGCUGUUGUAACACAUGCAGAAUGUGGCUAGGCAUUGUCUUGCUGAAAUAAGCAGGGGCGUCCAUGAAAAAUACUUUGCUUGGAUGGCAACAUGUUUCUCCAAAACCUGUAUGUACCUCUCAGCAUUAAUGGUGCCUUCACAUAUGUGUAAGUUACCCAUGCCUUGGGCACUAAUACACCCACAUAUUUGCAAAAAAUGAAGUUUCUCAGUUCGAACAUUAAAUAUCUUGUCUUUGCAGUGUAUUCAA